UAGCUUUCAGUUGGUUAGAGCAUCUGACUGUUAAUCAGAGGGUCCUUGGUUCGAGCCCAAG
rnacentral:tRNA from 1 species